UACAGAGGGUGCAAGCGUUAAUCGGAAUUACUGGGCGUAAAGCGUGCGUAGACGGUUGCGUAAGUCAGAUGUGAAAGCCCCGGGCUCAACCUGGGAAUUGCAUUUGAGACUGCGUAGCUAGGGUGCGGAAGAGGGAAGCGGAAUUCCGGUGUAGCGGUGAAAUGCGUAGAUAUCGGAAGGAACACCAGUGGCGAAAGCGGCUUCCUGGUCCAGCACCGACGUCAGGCACGAAAGCGUGGGAGCAAACAGG
rnacentral:rRNA from 1 species